UUGGUCUUCUGGUUGUGAUAGUUUUUCUCCCU
rnacentral:piRNA from 1 species